AACAGGAUUAGAUACCCUGGUAGUCCACGCUGUAAACGGUGGGUGCUAGGUGUAGGGGGUAUUCCACGCCCUCUGUGCCGCAGCUAACGCAUUAAGCACCCCGCCUGGGGAGUACGGCCGCAAGGCUAAAACUCAAAGGAAUUGACGGGGGCCCGCACAAGCAGCGGAGCAUGUGGCUUAAUUCGACGCAACGCGAAGAACCUUACCAAGGCUUGACAUGCAGGGAAAUCUCCCAGAGAUGGGAGGUCCGCAAGGGUCCUGCACAGGUGGUGCAUGGUUGUCGUCAGCUCGUGUCGUGAGAUGUUGGGUUAAGUCCCGCAACGAGCGCAACCCUCGUUCUAUGUUGCCAGCGCGUUAUGGCGGGGACUCAUAGGAGACUGCCGGGGUCAACUCGGAGGAAGGUGGGGACGACGUCAAAUCAUCAUGCCCCUUAUGUCUUGGGCUGCACACAUGCUACAAUGGCCGGUACAAAGGGCUGCUAAACCGCGAGGUGGAGCGAAUCCCAAAAAGCCGGUCUCAGUUCGGAUUGGGGUCUGCAACUCGACCCCAUGAAGUCGGAGUUGCUAGUAAUCGCAGAUCAGCAACGCUGCGGUGAAUACGUUCCCGGGCCUUGUACACACCGCCCGUCACGUCACGAAAGUCGGUAACACCCGAAGCCAGUGGCCCAACUCGCAAGAGAGGGAGCUGUCGAAGGUGGGAUCGGCGAUUGGGACGAAGUCGUAACAAGGUAACC
rnacentral:rRNA from 1 species